CCGGUAAACGGCGGCCGUAACUAUAACGGUCCUAAGGUAGCGAAAUUCCUUGUCGGGUAAGUUCCGACCUGCACGAAUGGCGUAAUGAUGGCCAGGCUGUCUCCACCCGAGACUCAGUGAAAUUGAACUCGCUGUGAAGAUGCAGUGUACCCGCGGCAAGACGGAAAGACCCCGUGAACCUUUACUAUAGCUUGACACUGAACAUUGAGCCUUGAUGUGUAGGAUAGGUGGGAGGCUUUGAAGUGUGGACGCCAGUCUGCAUGGAGCCGGCCUUGAAAUACCACCCUUUAAUGUUUGAUGUUCUAACGUUGGCCCCUGAUCGGGGUUGCGGACAGUGUCUGGUGGGUAGUUUGACUGGGGCGGUCUCCUCCUAAAGAGUAACGGAGGAGCACGAAGGUUGGCUAAUCCUGGUCGGACAUCAGGAGGUUAGUGCAAUGGCAUAAGCCAGCUUGACUGCGAGCGUGACGGCGCGAGCAGGUGCGAAAGCAGGUCAUAGUGAUCCGGUGGUUCUGAAUGGAAGGGCCAUCGCUCAACGGAUAAAAGGUACUCCGGGGAUAACAGGCUGAUACCGCCCAAGAGUUCAUAUCGACGGCGGUGUUUGGCACCUCGAUGUCGGCUCAUCACAUCCUGGGGCUGAAGUAGGUCCCAAGGGUAUGGCUGUUCGCCAUUUAAAGUGGUACGCGAGCUGGGUUUAGAACGUCGUGAGACAGUUCGGUCCCUAUCUGCCGUGGGCGCUGGAGAACUGAGGGGGGCUGCUCCUAGUACGAGAGGACCGGAGUGGACGCAUCACUGGUGUUCGGGUUGUCAUGCCAAUGGCACUGCCCGGUAGCUAAAUGCGGAAGAGAUAAGUGCUGAAAGCAUCUAAGCACGAAACUUGCCCCGAGAUG
rnacentral:rRNA from 1 species